UACAGAGGGUGCAAGCGUUAAUCGGAUUUACUGGGCGUAAAGGGUACGUAGGUGGUCUUUUAAGUCGGAUGUGAAAUCCCUGAGCUUAACUUAGGAAUUGCAUUCGAUACUGAAAGACUAGAGUAUGGGAGAGGAUGGUAGAAUUCCAGGUGUAGCGGUGAAAUGCGUAGAGAUCUGGAGGAAUACCGAUGGCGAAGGCAGCCAUCUGGCCUAAUACUGACACUGAGGUACGAAAGCAUGGGGAGCAAAC
rnacentral:rRNA from 1 species